rnacentral:rRNA from 1 species
GAUGAACGCUGGCGGCGCGCCUAACACAUGCAAGUCGAACGGCACCCCUCUCCGGAGGGAAGCGAGUGGCGAACGGCUGAGUAACACGUGGAGAACCUGCCCCCUCCCCCGGGAUAGCCGCCCGAAAGGACGGGUAAUACCGGAUACCCCGGGGUGCCGCAUGGCGCCCCGGCUAAAGCCCCGACGGGAGGGGAUGGCUCCGCGGCCCAUCAGGUAGACGGCGGGGUGACGGCCCACCGUGCCGACAACGGGUAGCCGGGUUGAGAGACCGACCGGCCAGAUUGGGACUGAGACACGGCCCAGACUCCUACGGGAGGCAGCAGUGGGGAAUCUUGCGCAAUGGGGGGAACCCUGACGCAGCGACGCCGCGUGCGGGACGGAGGCCUUCGGGUCGUAAACCGCUUUCAGCAGGGAAGAGUCAAGACUGUAC